CCCGGCCGCUUCUUCCCCGGCCCGGGAGCCGCCGCCGGGGGCGGGAGGCUGCGCCUGGGGCGCCGGGGCCGAGGGAGCCUCCCCUGGAGGAGGCAGCGGCCGCCUCGAUCUUCUGGCGCCGAGCCGGGCGGGCCGCCGGCGCUGAGGUGAGGCGAGGCAGCCUCUCGGUGUGAUCGUUGAGGACGCUACACGUGUUGGUAUUUGAACAACUCAAUGAAGCAGCUCAACCAGGAAAGUGUAAGAGCAGGGAGCGAGGUUAGCUUUGGAAUUUGCAUCUACUGAACUUGUAUAUCUAUUGGUGAUCACUUUUGUCCACUAAGCUUUUACAUCAGAAAUCUUUAGUUCUCAGGUUAAUAUGCGUUAUGACACUAGGAGAACUUCUCAAGGUAUUGCUCAAAAUGGAAUGUUUUCACAAAAGUAGCUUGUAUCCACAUUGUCUAAUUUAGCAGUAGGCAGAGACCAGCAAAGGUAUUGCAUGUUUUCCUUUCCUAGAAUCUGUUGACUUCCUUUGUAGCUUUUAAACCUGGAUCAUAUUAUAAAAUUCCCAGCUCUCAAGUCACUUAAAAUAUUUAUUGGCUUGUUAAACUGAACCACAUCUGCUGCUGUGGAGCCAAGAUUUGUUUUAGAAUUCUAUCACAGGGCUCUAACAUUCUUUAGCAGAAGACAUUAUAAAGCUAAUUUUACCAUGGUCUCUUAAGAAAAGAAGUAGUAAAAAGCAGUGGGAACAGUGUCACCCUCAUUCAGAACAGGUAGCCUUACUCCUUUAGAGCAUUAAAAUAUUUCUAAACAUACUCAUUAACUAUAGUACUUAAAUAUUUUUUGUAUGAUCAGCUGUGAAAAAGGUUAGCUUGGACGUGUUAAAACUUAAUUAAGACUGUUUGUCAGUCCAUUAAGAGGAACUAGUAUGGCAAGAUAACUUUGUGAUGUCUCAUAGUACAAGCCCAAAAGGACAUUCACUGAUGCUUAGAAAGUGGGAGUUUUGAAAAAUGGUAGGUGGAAAUACUUUCUCAAACCAUGUAAUUAGAAUGAAACCAGUUGCCAGAGGAAAUCAUUCAGCAAGAUUCAAAGCAGGCAGAAAUGUAUAUGAAUUCCAAAACAGUCUAGUGCCUUUAUAAUGAAAGCCAAGAAAACAUUUAGAAGAGAGAUUAAAGCAUAUGACUCAGGGUUCAAACUGAUCUUUAUGGGAACGAGAACGGUACUUUUCUGUGUCACAGAAUAUUGAAAUGUGUCUUCCACAGUGGUCUUGUGCUGUGGAGUUCCCUGGUUCUGGGCAGGUCAGGGCGAGUGUUGGAGCAGCAGGACUACGAGCCACAUGUCAGGAGGGAAUAUGUAAAAUCAGAUUGCUAAUUGACUUUGCUGUGAAGGCAAAAGUUCAAAGGUCCACCUGCUGUAACGUGUUCCCCGCAUUAUAAUGCAUACCAUGAAAAGAGCAUUAGAUCUGUGUGUGUGUAAAAUGUAAAAAUGCUAAAUAAUGGCAGGUCUGCCCGCAUCCAGCACUGGCUUCGUGUGCCAGUGUCCCUGCCACAGCAGGGUUUGCAGGGCAGCGGUGUUGUCUGCGGACAGCAGAAAGUUUCCUCGUCCUUCGCACCACGUCCAGCUCAAAGCUGCUCUCUGGAUCGUGGUCCAGCUCCUCCAUCAGGAGAAUGAUUUGCUGCUGACAAACUCUUCACACCUUUUCUCCUGGAGGUGACUGCCUGGGAAUACCCCAAGAAUGGCAAGGAAGAUCAUUGUAAAUGUGCUCAGCUGGGGUGUAGAAAAAACACAUACAUCACACGUUGUUUUACUGGCCUUGUGUGUUUGACCAGUAGAACCUCUGUUGGACAACAUGGGCCUGGGAGAAACUCUAAGGCAACUCCUUGAAUAUGGUUGAAUUCUGUAUAAGAUUCUGUUUCAGACCAAGUGCAGUUCAUUAUGUUUUCACAAGUUUUAGUGUUAAAAGAGUGAUCACUUCUGAUUUCUACCCAGUCUCUGUACUUUGCUUUAAUCUAGUGUGGUGAAUCCAGGAGUUGACUCCUUUAUGUUUCACAGUGUUAGUUACCAACAGUACCAUACAGGGUCCUCUCUGCUCUUUCCAAGCUUGUCCUACCAGGUCCAAGGACAGAGGGAUCUCCAGGUCAGAAGGAGACACAGGCAUAUCCAGCACCACAGGUGCUUUCUUCUGGAGAUACCUGUGUAAUGAUGAGAAAGCUUUUCCCAAAUACAUCAUAUAUUCAGUGAGCAUCUUGUUCCCCAAAAUAUGCAUUUAGGUCAGUUUUUCCUGUCAAGUUUACUGAAUAGGGUCUUCCAUACAGUAUUUUGAAAGGGCUUGCUUUUUCUCUUAUUCUUUAGGUAGUGUGAAUUUUCAGUAAAAUAAUUAGCAAUACAUCUGUCUAUUUUACAUUAAUUUCCUGACACAGUUUAGCUAAUUGUAUUUUUUUUUUUUUAUAUAGAUUGAUUCAUUCUUUCUACCUUUCCACCAAACUGAGGUCUCUAAGGGGCAUGCAAAUCCCAUCUUACCACAAGAAGAGUAAAAAUAGGCUACAUUAUUUCUGCUAUAAAAUGUGGAACAGCCAAACCUUGCUAUUAUUUUAUUCAAUAAUUUCUUUGGUACUUCUCUAGCUUUGUUGGUCUGGCAUGGGAAUGCUUCAGGCCAUCUAGAAAAUUCAGAAAGAUCAAUUUACCAAUAUUAUCCAAGAAAAUUCCGUUUUUUUCCCUCUCCAGGUGGAGGCUUUAACACUGUCUUACAACUUUGCAUUUUAGGUCCCAUUGCGUAUCUUCUAACACUCACUUCAGCCCCCUCACCACUGCGAUCGGGGAAGGAAUCAGAAGAGAAAAGUGAGAAAACUUGUGGGUUGAGAUAAGAACAGUUUAAUAAUUGAAAUAAAAUACAGUAAUGAUAGAAGAACAUACAAACCAAGGGAAAUAUUAGCGUGUGCCCCCCAUUCUCCUGCUAACCCUGAGCACAGCACGGUACCCACUGCCAGUCACGUCAUCCUGGCCCAGAACACUCUGCUGCUUCUCCACAGGGACACAAAGUGCCCAGUCUCACAUUUGCUAGUUUAUUGCAGUAAGAUUUGUGAUCCUAUUAAAUAUUCAAGUCUCUCUCCUCAAAGAAGAGUCCCAGGUUACUAGAAGUAUAACAGGUAGUAACAUACUUGGGUCGCAAGUUACUUAAAGUUCCAGAUAUAUAUCCUGAAUAAGGAUUGCAGUGAACAGCUAGGUACAUGGUGUCCUGAAAUUUUCCAUAAUAUGGAUAAAACAUAAAGUGGUCACAGCUUCAGAAGCUGUUUUUUAACAGUGAAGUAAAUUCUGCUCAGAACUAAGGACCUCAAGAACCUUGCUUCAAGUAAAAUAGCAUUUUUUGAUCCAGCAUUUCUCCGACAUGCCAACAAACCAGUGGUAUUAAAUAUAUUUAUAUAGAAGAAAAACUUUUUCACACUCAAUUGCAUAUAUUUCUUUGCCUUGGGAACAUGUAAGAGCAUUUUGACAGCUGUUAAUCAGUUUUGGUGAGUCACUGUUUUGAAAAGAUGCGACCAAUGUUGAUAAUGUGCAUUGUGUUUUGGGCAAGCUCAGUAACGAACCGCUUGUACUCACAUUUGAUUGUUGCUGCCUGAGAGACACAGUUUCAGGGUAAUAAAAUGUCAUGAGUUUAAAAAAAAAAAAGGCUUUUCUUGUGGCAUAUGAGAGCUGAAGAAGCAGCUUUUUUCAUGUUUUGUUGAGGUAUGUGUGUAUAAAUUCCUCAGUCGCUGUCUGGAAGGAGCGACCUCAUGGAGCGGAGUUUCCACAUCCAGCCUGCACAGCACGUGUUUGCUCAGCAAAGCCUGGGAGCCCGAUCGGAGCAGGACAGGAGUGGAUGUGCAGAAAUUGCUGGGUUAGUGGAGGUGCCAUCAAGUUACAGGUAAAGACCUGACUCAUUUUCAUCUGUGUUAUUGGUUUGGCUUCUGGCAGGUCAUAUCUUGAACCGGGGGUUGAGGUUUGAUGUACCAUUUUGUAAGUGAGUUUUCAGCGAUGGUUUAUGCAGAGUGUACUGCUUGUGUAGUGCCAGACCGAGGCAGACGGGCAUGACAACGGGUGUGAGGUCUUGUCAGCCUCGUGGAGUUUCCAGGCAAACCGUGCUGUGACUCACUGAAAACAUCUCAUGUUCUAUUACAAAAUACUUGCUUACAAGAGAUGUUUUGUUCUGCAGGCUUUGGAUUUUUCACUGUUUAUGAUUUUGUCUAUAUGAAAAUGUAAUAUGAUAACAUUUAAUAAAGUACAUACACCAUUGGUUAUUUAGUGUGUGUUUUAAUCUUGUCACUUUAGUCUUCAAGUAUUUUAAGUAGAAUGCUCUUUGUGGUUCUUAACAUUCUGAAUAAUAUGGUUAUUUUUAAUUUGGUAAUUUUUUACCUUUUGGUGAGAUACUGCCCAUCGGUUUGGUUUUCCUAAUGUGUAAACUGAAGUAGGUUCAUUCGCGAGUCUUCACUUCUGUGGCAUCCGUGGAACUUGGACAAAGCUUUGGCAAAGCCUCUUGACCAAACACCUGCAAAACUGGGACUGACUCUAAUGAACGGAGUCGUUUCUUUGGCUGUUGGGUGUCAGUGCCUGCGUUUCUCGUGCUUGUUGAAAUUGUGGUUCAGGUUGGCAGCCAAGUCUCCAGCUUCUGUUUGUUGUUUCUUUGUGUUCCUCACAGAGGUACCUGGAAUUCCGCAGUCAGGCCAUGCUGAGGUUUUUCCCACCAAGCAGGAUAAACACUCUCGAUUUCACACUCACUGUUCAAAGACCGAAUCAAAUCAUCUGGAGGGGAAAAUUCAGUCUCCUCCCCAUCCCUUUUUGUGGGGCGAGGGAGAGAAAGGAACAUUGAAGGAGGGAGGAAAUGAACAGUGGCAGGGAGCACCAUGUGAAAUGUGUCAGGGUUUUUUUUCUUCUCAACAAGCCCAAUUUUUACCAGCUUCUAAUUUCAUGUAUGCCUGUGAGGUGUAAGGCAGUGCUCGUAUUCAAAACUGAAACACAGAUUUGUUCUGUGGCUGUGAACAGCGUCCCUGGCGGGAGGUGUCUGCAGCGGACGGCAGUCCCCGUUGGUGUGCAGUGGCUCAGGCAGGUCGCUCAGCAGCGCUGGGCACAGAACCCGUGUUGCCAUCCAUCACUGCCCGAGCAAAAUCCCUUCGGAAUAUGCGUUUUCUCAGUUUAACGUUGGGCAAAAUAUUUUUGGCACCACAGCAUUCAUUCACAUGGACUCGCGAGUGCUUUUAAAGUAUGGUCUCUAAUGAGGGUUUGUAAACUUUGGUUGUUUAUGCAGAGUGUAUAGGUGUUUUGUUCUCUUGUAAUUUUGUGUUUGAAGUCUUUGGGAAAUGGGGCAAUUGCCAGAAGUUUCUUGGUCUUUGAUAUGGUAUCAGCUCUCGGUGUUUGAGGAAUUUGGUGUUUUCCUUAGCUUCCUCACACAGUUGUUAUAUAUUAAUUAGUUUAUAUCUGUACUGUGCUUUGAAGCUGUAAGGUGGUGUUAUUAUUAAAAAAAUGGGUAGACAUUACUGUGCUUAAGUGGAUGCAGAUAAUUCACAAUGUGUUCAAAGCAAUUUUUGCAAUAACCCUGUUGCCACGGUCCUCGUUAUAUGUUUAAUUACCCUGUUACUCUCCUGGAUGCCAAAUUCUGGGCUUUGCAUCUUGUCGCGGCUGGGCCGGCACCGUCGCCCUGUGCACAGGACACGAACAGCCCUGGGUUUGCUCAGCCCCACGCUCUCCCAGCUCCAGGAGGCUGGGGCGGAUCACGGGAUGAUUGCGCGCGUCUCUGAGCUCCGGUUCAGCCACCCCAGACCCGCUGGGCUCGGUCCCUGGGGAUUCGCCCCUCCCGCCCGGGGCGCUGGGUCUGGAUGUGCCAUCGGGACCCCUCAGCCAAGUGCUCCCUGGAGAGCAGGAGAGUCCAAUCUCCCCUUGAGGAGCCUCUUCCCUUCAGUGAGCUGUGGUCAGAAACCCACAACAAUCAGACACUUCACUAAUUAGCCCUGUGAAGUGCUGAGGUUGAGGACUCUGAAUGAAUCAAAGCUGUUGUACCAGGAGUGUGCUCAGUGUCACUCUGGCUGCUGCUCUCCGAAUAACUUCCCAGUUUAUUACAACUUUCAGUGUGAUUUGGAUUAGUAGAUUCAAAAACGAAAUGCAGGGAAUGAAACAGAAAAAAGUCUUUGCGUUACCCCUUAAUAAAACUUUUGCAAUAUUACGAUGUAUUGCAAAGUUACUUGGAUAAUUCCAAGUACGUGUGUAGUCAGUGCCAGUCCUGCUGUCCUUGCAGUUCCUUCCAAAGGAUAAAUACAAAACUCCAAACGUCCUGUUUUCUUCAACCUUGGAAAAAUGGAAUGUUUUUCACUUUUCAAAAUGGGUCUCUGAGAAGGGAGGCUCUUGGCCACCAGCGUCUUACACGUUGGUACAGGUGGCUCAGAUGUAGAUUGGGGAAAAAUAUGAAUAAAUAGAUUUUUCAUAUUACUUUUGAAUAGUGCUUUUUCUGUUUCCCUUUAACCUCAAGUCAGUAGGAAGCCCAUUUUUCAGUAACUAUAUUUAACCCAGUUUAGGGUGCGUUUGCAGGGCUGUGUUGGGGGGGAGUUGUUAUUCUUUAUGGACUUUAAAAGGAGUGAACUAAUCAGAAAUCAUUCUAGAAAAAAACCUGAAUAACUGUUUUCCAGUCAAAGUACGCUCUGCCCCUUUUGUAAGACUACACUUGAACGCAUCGCCAUGUAGAUUGGAAUUACCUAUAGCAUGAGCCUUCCCACAGGCUGGGAGCUGUGGCCAUCACUGUGGGGAUGCUGGGCCAGGGUGAAGAUGCUUUGUCUGAUUGUUCCUGUAAACCAGUUCCAACCAGGAGCGCUGGGUGUACGUGAACGUCUGGCUGGUGGGUCAGGGCAGCAGAUGUUUCAGUAGCUCACUCGCUGAAAUGUGUCAACAUUUUGUGUGCUGCUAUUGCCAUGGAAACGGGUAUUGGCUCUGCAGAAAUGGCACAGGGAUUUCAAAAUUACAUUUUAAAAAACAAAAUCAAGGGAGGUUAGUCAGCCUUGUUUUGACUCAUAAACACCGACACUGGUGCUGAACAGAACCUGUCUUUUGAAUAUAUUAGGUGUAGUCAUGUGAAUAGGCAGAUCAGUGAUUAGUAUUUUAAAAUAAAGUUUUUUAAAAGUAAGCGAGUGUCUGAUAGAAGUUUAUUAGAGAAAUGUGUGUUCAUUGCUUUUUGUUCAGCACGUUUUCUCCUCCAUACCUGAAAUCAGUCACAGCUCUGGCACCUCAGGCCUCCGCCUUCCCAGAGAGGUGAAGUCCGUCUUGGGGAGAGCUACACAUUUCAGCCAGUUGGCAAACUACACUUUUUAAAAAUACAAAGUGGCUCGUGAAACACAGAACUUACCAUUUUUCGGUUUGUAAGCUUCAGCAGCAUGUCCAAAUGAAGCAAGCCCCAUUGUGGGGGCUGUUGGUUAGCCUUUGGAACAGCCUCCUGCUGGCCAGCUCCGGCACCCCACUCAGCACGGCUGCAGCGCUCAAAAUAGGAGUGAACUUAUUGCUUCCCAGGAUAUUGUACAGACCAAGUCUCACGUGAGAUUGUGGACAGGGAGCUCCAGGAAUUCUGAGAAAUGAAGAUGUGUCUGUUUGUUGUUGUGGAUCUUCAGCUCGAUUCCUCUAAUGCUGGUUUUCCAGCCCCAGCAGCGACAGACAGCUGGACACAGCCCAGACAGAUGGCCAGUGCGAGGAGGAAGAAGAGGAGGAGGAGGAGGGCGGGAGGCAGAGCCGCAGCAGGAACGGGACCCAGAGGGUGACACGAGAAGGUGGUUGGGCUGCAGUGCUGGGGUGGGAGGCAGCGGGAGCUGCAACGGAGCCACCAGCAAACACAGCAGCAAGGAACAUCUGAACCACUGGCACUGUCCCAGAGCACAGACCGGAGUGGAAUUUGUUUGACAGAACAAUUCCCCUUAGAAAUAAAAUUCUUUGAACAUUGGAUCACUAAAUAAUGAAGGGUAAAGUGCUUAGUGACCUAAAUUAGAUUCCUUAAAAGGCUACCCACCAAGAUCAAACCGUGGUUCAAUACAGGCCGUACUUCAGCCAAGUACUUUCCCAAAACACAGAGGCGAGAGGUGGUUUGACAGAUGCUCGUGUCUCCCCUUUCUAACUCGUACUUCUCUUGUACUUGGCCAGUUCUGAAAUAAGCUGUAAACCUGUAUCAGUUUCUGAAGGAGCAGCCCAGCAAAGGAGAAGGAGGGAGCGCUGGCUGGGACCAGCCGUCCAUCUGAGCUGCUCUGCCCAUCGCACCCAGCACCGGCCUCGUUACCCCAGAACUGCUGCUGCUGUGUCCAAGUCCCUUCUGUGGAGCCCUACAUUAAUCCAAUUUUAAGAAGUCAAAAAAAAAAAAACAAAACAGAAGCCUCACAUACUUUAAACAACUUAAUUUAUUAGAACCCAUAAAUGUUGCUUCCAUUAGAAGAAUCAAGUUAACACCUAAUUCAGGGUGAAAUUACAUUUUAAGACAAACAAAAAAUUGUAAUGCUUAAAUACAGUAUUUACUGCAGACUGCUAUUCUGAGACUCCUGGUACAAUUUGUCCUUCUCUUGGGGCAUUAGGACAGUAUCUAACUCCAAACAGGUCCAGCAGUUCAUUUUCAAUGGGAAGCACAUCACACCAUGUGAAGGGCUGUUCCCCCAUCUGCCUCCCCAAACAUGAAAUGAAGAACUCAAACCUUAAACAAAGAGAAAACCCUUGAGAUGCAUUGCCAGAAUCUGAAAUUUUUAUUUCUUGUAUAUUUAAGAUUGACAGAAGAUCCCUGUAGCAAAAAAAAAAAAAAAAAAAAAAGAUAA